rnacentral:rRNA from 1 species
CCCUUAGAUGUUCUGGGCCGCACGCGCGCUACACUGACUACUUCAACGAGUUGUUUCCUUGAUCGAAAGGUCUGGGUAAUCUUUGAAAGGUAGUCGUGAUGGGGAUAGAUUCUUGCAAUUUUUGAUCUUCAACGAGGAAUUCCUAGUAAACGCAAGUCAUCAGCUUGCAUUGAUUACGUCCCUGCCCUUUGUACACACCGCCCGUCGCACCUACCGAUUGAAUGGUCCGGUGAAUCUUUAGGACUGUGGCUGAGGCCUUGCCUUGUGCGGGUCUGGCCGUGGGAAUUUAGUUAAACCUUACCAUUUAGAGGAAGGUGAAGUCGUANCA